rnacentral:lncRNA from 1 species
CCUUCAUGUAUUUUUAUGCCCAAUGCAGCCGUUUCUGCUUGUGAGCAUUGUUUAGUGGUGGUCGAAUAGAAGGUUUAUGCACAGUUGCAAGACUCUGGAGGACUCUACACCUUGAUGUCCGUGGGACUCCAGAGGCACCAGCAGCUUCAAAUAUCUGUUUGCUGCUAUGUAAUGGUAUUGUAGCAGCUGCUCUCUUGAUCCGAUGCAUGGAUCUGGCAGAAAUCUUCCUCAAUGUGCCUUUAUCUGCACAAACCCGUCUGUGCUCUGAAUCAGCCACAAAUCUCUUAAUAGUGCG